GGUCCUAUGGUCAAGAGGUUAAGACACCGCCCUCUCACGGCGGUAACCCGGGUUCGAUUCCCGGUAGGACUACCA
rnacentral:tRNA from 1 species